UACUUAUAGGAUCAAGUAACAGAUUUUAAGCACCUAAAAGUAAACACAUAUUACAUUACUUAUCACUAAACCGUAUGAUCAUUAGCAAGGGUAUAUUUUUUCAUUAUUCUGUUAACAAAAUUUGUUAUUUUAAUCAGCUUCGUAGAUUAACUUAAAUUUGACGAAACUUCAAGAAUAUCAUUAUAGUAAUAGCAUGUUAUUCUACUGAUUAUUGUAUAUACCAAAACUAACUUAUAUCUCUGAGAUUUUAUAAAUGAUUAUGAAGAAAACACUGUUAGAAUAAUUGUAUAAUUAAUGUUUUCAGACAUAUUUAGAUUAUUAAAAAUUGACUUCCAAAGCAUAUCAUCAACUAAUAUAUAAAAAUUGUUAUAAUUGUACAUCACUUAUUUGUUGUCUGUUGCUUUUGUGGACUUGUUUUUAACUCUGACUUUAAUAAAUUAUUUAUUCUCGAA